CACAGAGCGAUCAGCUGACAGUGAGUGCAGCAGUAGAAAGUCCAGAUAAACAGCAGUAAAUUUCAGUUUUGACACGCUGAGUCGUCCCUCAGUGUCCGUGUAAGCUCAGCGAGAGCAAACAGAGGAAUGUUAACAGGAAGUGGAAGAAACUGCUGGUAUCUGGAAGUACUCAGGAGUGAGUGGAAGUAGUCGUCUCUCAACCACAACAAAGAGUGAAAUAUGGGCAGUGAGUACCAACCACUGUCUGCAGCAGAGUCAUGCAGAAGUUUAUUCAUAGAGACGUCAGAGUGCUUUAUAUGCAGGGAUGUUGAACUUCAAGCCAGUGACCCACUGAGGAAUUUCUGCGACUGCAAGAAUUUACUUGCCCAUCACGUGUGUCUGUCCACGUGGAUCCAGAAGGGAAGUGGGAGUGAAGACAGGCUACGCUGCAUUAUCUGCAAAGCCAAGUACCAGCUCCAGAGGAGUUCUCCGUGGCGGUCGGUGAGCUUUCAGUGGCAAACAUGGCUUGUGUCGAUCACUGCGUUGGUUCUGCUGGCUCUGGUACCUUAUGCUGUUUACUGCAUGAUGACCGCCUUCACCGACCCUCCUCCUCCCAGCACCUUUAAAGUGGCGGCCGCCUCUUUUGGCCUGCUGACGGAAAUCCUGCUGAUCAAGUGUCUGUGCAGCUACCUCAGCAGUCGUUACCGGCAGGCUGAGCAGAGCUCCUUCACAGUCCGGGCCAGAGGCUUCGACGAGGACAGAGCAAGCAUGGCCCGCUGGGAUCGGUCUGAGGCCUCAGCAGCGGCAGGUCAAGCUUCAUCGGCGGCCUCACCCAGUCAAGUGGACGAAAGGAAAGUGGAUAUGCUGAAGAGUGGAUGUCUCAGCUUUUUCUGAACCACUAACAGAAGGAGUUUACAGAAUGCAGAGUGAGAGUAAAUCCUAUGGGUAUUCAAGAUAUCAGUUUAUCAGCGUGGCGUUUAUGAGAUUUUACAAUUUAAAACCUUUUUUUCUGAGGUGUCAAAUAUUCUUGUUUUCCUCUAUGUCAAACGCUUACCCUCUUUAUUCAGCGGGUACAUUCUCACUUUUUGCAAAUUGAUCAUAAGGAAGCUAAUGCACGCAGCGUGCAUGAGUGUGUUCAGGCUCAGGGAGAAAAAAAGAGCCUGAAAUCACUCUCGUUCCUUAAUGAUGUCCACACAGAGACAAUGGGGCGCCGCUCUGAUUAGUGUCACCUGUCCUUGUGCAUCUCAUCAGCUCCAUUAUGGCUCCAGCUCCCAUGCUUCUUCUGCUAAUUGAAUAGCCUGUGAAGUGGUGACGAGGACGGGGGCGAGAGCAGCGUCUGUCCCGCUGCUGCUUCAGAAAUGAGAGUGAAGCUUCCCAGUGAGACACCAUUGUAGUUCUUAAAACAUGAACCAUUAUCAUACAGAUGGAAAAAGUGCUAACAAGCAGCCCUCAUGUUAUAUUACUGUCAUAUCGUCUAUGGAUUAUCUUCAUAUCUAACAGCUUACAAUUAGCAUCGACUGUAGGUUUUUGAAGAGAAGCAUUUCUGCACUACGCAUUUCGUCAGUUUAUCAGACAGAGGUUCAUAGUGGACGUAGCCAUAAAACACUUGUCAUCUUUCAGUAGCUGCACACGGCAACUUAAGUAUGGUUUGACAUUUUUGUACAUUUAUUUGCAUUCUUACCAAAAACUGAAGGAAGAAAUUGCUCAGCUUAGCUGACUAAGACUGGACAUGGGAAAAAAUUAGCCCAGCAACUCCUUGGGCCCAGACACACCAAACCGACUUCAGAGAACUAGCAGUGAAGCCCCCUUGCUGCGUUGCCUCACGUUGCCUUUGUCCUGGCCAAAAAGUUGCACAUGAACACACCAAACUCAACCGAGGGUCAACCAGCAUGUACAUUCUGUGCUUACAUGAGAGGAAAUAACUCUCCAUACAAGCAGUCAUCUGUAUUCAUGAUUCAAAAAGGGAAACUGGAAAACCGUCUUUAUGCUAGUUAGCCAGUUAACACAUGUACAACACAAUGUAGUGUUGAAAGAACAAAGCACAUUAACCGUGUGCCUGUGAACAAUAAGAUAAACCGUCAGGAAACGUUUCUGCUACAUAACCAAAUCAAUAAAGAAAAAUAAACUGACCCUAUAUGACAAGUUUGUUUUUGUCCCAGUCCCUCUGGAUUUAGCUCUUUGUUUACUUUCCUCACUUAAGUUUCUCAUCUUGUGCGCUGACCUGAACUGAUAAUCAGACAGAUUUCCUUUAAAACAGGAAACUAGAAAAUGCAGUGUAAGGAUAAGGCUGGUGUUAUUCUGUAGUAUAAGUAUUGUCAACAAAUCCCAUAAAAAGACGAUGUAAGAUUUAUUAAAUGUACAUUAACAUUUAUUCACUGGGAGAAUUCACAGAACCACAAUCCAUAUGAAGCUCUGAUAUCAGACCACAGUGUUAUUCACCAUGAGACCUUUAUCAUACACAUUUGCUGGCUUGACUUUGUUUGACUAAGCGUGUCAGUCCAGCACAGCAGGGAUUUGCAUCUUCAGGGCUACCUGCCUGAAGGUGUGUCUUAAACUGAUGACACACUUGUCUUGAGUCGGUGUUGUUUUAAAGCAGCUCCCUGGCUGUGCAGCGGUUGUUGGUAGCCAGCUACUUAUCAUCAUGGAUUUUCUGGCUGUUGUUACAAAGAAGUGUCCGCCAUGUCCGACAAUAACAGCAGAGGCUAUUUGAACAUGUCGCUGAAUUGUUGCUGAAUGUUUAUGAAGCCCAUCUGACAUCACUGCAACCUAUUUUGAGUGGGUCUGACACGACUCUGGAGAUGGUCUAUCACAGCACAUCUCGGCACUUUUAAACUGGCAAUGAAAACUCAAAUGAACGCGGCCAAAAGUGCCAAUGAAAAUAACCUACUCUUGUUCAAGUAUAAGCAGGGUUGGAAAUCAGCACCAGCCAAAAAAACACAAUGGUAAUCUAUUGAGUGGCUUGUAGAUUUUGGAAUCCACCAGCCAUUUUGUAAAACCACUUCCUGUUAGGGGUCGCAGGUGUCUAUCCCACCUAUCCCAGCUGACAUUGGGUGAGAGGCAGGGUACACCCUGGACAGGUCGCCAGACUAUCACAGGGCUGACACAUAGAGACAGACAACCAUUCACGCUCACAUUCACACCUAUGGACAAUUUAGAGUUACCAAUUAACCUAGUCCCCAGUCUGCAUGUCUUUGGACUGUGGGAGGAAGCCGGAGUGCCCGGAGAGAACCCACGCUGACACGGGGAGAACAUGC